rnacentral:rRNA from 1 species
AUGCACGCUGGCGGCGUGCCUCAUCCAUGCAAGUCGCGCGAACGGACGAGAAGCUUGCUUCUCUGAUGUUAGCGGCGGACGGGUGAGUAACACGUGGAUAACCUACCUAUAAGACUGGGAUAACUUCGGGAAACCGGAGCUAAUACCGGAUGAUAUUUUGAACCGCAUGGUUCAAAAGUGAAAGACGGUCUUGCUGUCACUUAUAGAUGGAUCCGCGCUGCAUUAGCUAGUUGGUAAGGUAACGGCUUACCAAGGCAACGAUGCAUAGCCGACCUGAGAGGGUGAUCGGCCACACUGGAACUGAGACACGGUCCAGACUCCUACGGGAGGCAGCAGUAGGGAAUCUUCCACAAUGGGCGAAAGCCUGACGGAGCAACGCCGCGUGAGUGAUGAAGGUCUUCGGAUCGUAAAACUCUGUUAUUAGGGAAGAACAUAUGUGUAAGUAACUGUGCACAUCUUGACGGUACCUAAUCAGAAAGCCACGGCUAACUACGUG